rnacentral:tRNA from 1 species
GAAGGUAUGGCUGAGUGGUUUAUAGCACCUGAUUUGAAAUCAGGUAUAUUUUAUAAUAUCGUAGGUUCAAAUCCUACUACCUUCG